GCAAGCGUAAUUCAGUGGUAGAACGUCAGGUUGCCACUUUGAGUACCCGGGUUCGAUUCCCGGCGUUUGCU
rnacentral:tRNA from 1 species